rnacentral:lncRNA from 1 species
UUAUAUAUCACAAUUAGUAUUUACAUUCUUAUAUAUAUAUAUAAAUAUCAUAAACUUCAUGAAAGGCGUAGAUCUGUGUAACUAUACUAAUGGGAUAGUGCAUCAUCCAAACAAGUCUCAAACCAACUAGUACAAAAGCAAUGUUAUAAGACCUAAAUUGUCAUCAUAUCAUUCGGCCACCACCACUAGACUAGAAAAUAAAUUUCUAAAUAUUUUUGCUAUCGAGAAGAUUUGAAUCUAGGAGUUCCCAAAAUGAUUUCCACAAGGGUAUCACUAAACUAAAGACGUCUCGGCUAAAAAACAUGACUUGGGAUUGCGUAGAAUAAGAUUUUUAUAAUUCAUAUCUGUUGAUUCAUACAUAUAGUUGAAGUCUAGUAGCUUCAAUAGUAAUCGGGAACGAUGAUGGAGAAACGUAAACUAGGGACUACCACUACCAUUACCACCACCGCCUUUUCCACUGAUUGAUCCCCCAAAAUUUAUGUUACUAUUCCUAUAGGUACUCCUCAACCUCCUCGAUUCUGCAAAAGAAAAUAAAGUGUGUCAAUAAAAUAGGAGUGCAUGCAGUCAAAAAAUAAAUUUUUUUCUAAAAUACAAUGGUAACUCACUUGAUAAAAUAUUCUAUUUUAAAAUGGUAUAAAUUCACAAAAGCAUAAUAGGUUUUGAUGUUCUAAGCUUCAUAAGACUCAAAGAAUGAUAAUAUAUAUGUACAGGAAAAAAGGAAAGAAGAAAAUCCUAUAUUAGUGGCUAAAAAGUUUUUUUAAUCAAAGUAACAAAUAUUUUGGUCUGGCUUCAAAUAUAUGUACUAGUAUUUUUGAAGUACAUUUUUAGUGGGUGGAGC